CGAGCGAACGGACGAGAAGCUUGCUUCUCUGAUGUUAGCGGCGGACGGGUGAGUAACACGUGGAUAACCUACCUAUAAGACUGGGAUAACUUCGGGAAACCGGAGCUAAUACCGGAUAAUAUUUUGAACCGCAUGGUUCAAAAGUGAAAGACGGUCUUGCUGUCACUUAUAGAUGGAUCCGCGCUGCAUUAGCUAGUUGGUAAGGUAACGGCUUACCAAGGCAACGAUGCAUAGCCGACCUGAGAGGGUGAUCGGCCACACUGGAACUGAGACACGGUCCAGACUCCUACGGGAGGCAGCAGUAGGGAAUCUUCCGCAAUGGGCGAAAGCCUGACGGAGCAACGCCGCGUGAGUGAUGAAGGUCUUCGGAUCGUAAAACUCUGUUAUUAGGGAAGAACAUAUGUGUAAGUAACUGUGCACAUCUUGACGGUACCUAAUCAGAAAGCCACGGCUAACUACGUGCCAGCAGCCGCGGUAAUACGUAGGUGGCAAGCGUUAUCCGGAAUUAUUGGGCGUAAAGCGCGCGUAGGCGGUUUUUUAAGUCUGAUGUGAAAGCCCACGGCUCAACCGUGGAGGGUCAUUGGAAACUGGAAAACUUGAGUGCAGAAGAGGAAAGUGGAAUUCCAUGUGUAGCGGUGAAAUGCGCAGAGAUAUGGAGGAACACCAGUGGCGAAGGCGACUUUCUGGUCUGUAACUGACGCUGAUGUGCGAAAGCGUGGGGAUCAAACAGGAUUAGAUACCCUGGUAGUCCACGCCGUAAACGAUGAGUGCUAAGUGUUAGGGGGUUUCCGCCCCUUAGUGCUGCAGCUAACGCAUUAAGCACUCCGCCUGGGGAGUACGACCGCAAGGUUGAAACUCAAAGGAAUUGACGGGGACCCGCACAAGCGGUGGAGCAUGUGGUUUAAUUCGAAGCAACGCGAAGAACCUUACCAAAUCUUGACAUCCUUUGACAACUCUAGAGAUAGAGCUUUCCCCUUCGGGGGACAAAGUGACAGGUGGUGCAUGGUUGUCGUCAGCUCGUGUCGUGAGAUGUUGGGUUAAGUCCCGCAACGAGCGCAACCCUUAAGCUUAGUUGCCAUCAUUAAGUUGGGCACUCUAAGUUGACUGCCGGUGACAAACCGGAGGAAGGUGGGGAUGACGUCAAAUCAUCAUGCCCCUUAUGAUUUGGGCUACACACGUGCUACAAUGGACAAUACAAAGGGCAGCGAAACCGCGAGGUCAAGCAAAUCCCAUAAAGUUGUUCUCAGUUCGGAUUGUAGUCUGCAACUCGACUACAUGAAGCUGGAAUCGCUAGUAAUCGUAGAUCAGCAUGCUACGGUGAAUACGUUCCCGGGUCUUGUACACACCGCCCGUCACACCAGGAGAGUUUGUAACACCCGAAGCCGGUGGAGUAACCUUUUAGGAGCUAGC
rnacentral:rRNA from 1 species